UAAGACGGAGGGAGGGAGUGUUGUUCGGAAUUAUUGGGUGUAAAGGGCGUGUAGGUGUUCUGGCAAGUCCAGUGUGAAAGCCCUCCGCUCAAGGGAGGAAUUGCGCCGGAGACUGUCAGAAUUGAGUACGGGAGAGGAGAGCGGAACUCCCAGUGUAGCGGUGAAAUGCGUAGAUAUUGGGAGGAACACCGGUGGCGAAAGCGGCUCUCUAGCCCGAUACUGACACUGAGGCGCGAAAGCUAGGGGAGCGAACGGGAUUAGAUACCCCGGUAGUCCUAGCCGUAAACGAUGGGCAUUAGGUGUGGUGGGAGUUGACCCCCACCGUGCCGUAGCUAACGCGUUAAGUGCCCCACCUGGGGAGUACGGUCGCAAGGCUG
rnacentral:rRNA from 1 species